GACGAACGCUGGCGGCGUGCUUAACACAUGCAAGUCGAACGAAGUGGCGAACGGGUGAGUAACGCGUAAUCAACCUGCCCUUCAGAGGGGGACAACAGUUGGAAACGACUGCUAAUACCGCAUACUGAAGGAGGGGAUUGCGUCUGCUUAGCUAGUUGGAGGGGUAACGGCCCACCAAGGCGAUGAUCAGUAGGCGGUUCGAGGGGAGGGACGGGCCCAAUGGGACCGAGGCCCGGCCCCGACUUCCUCGGGAAGGCGCCGUGGGGAAUCUUCCGCAAUGGACGAAAGUCUGACGGAGCAACGCCGCGUGAGUGAUGACGGCCUUCGGGUUGUAAAGCUCUGUUAAUCGGGACGCGGUACCGGAAUAGAAAGCCACGGCUAACUACGUGCCAGCAGCCGCGGUAAUAC
rnacentral:rRNA from 1 species